rnacentral:sRNA from 1 species
GUUUUUUGUCAAAAAUGAAAGUGGCCGCAUCCGUGUUCAUUCUCAACCUUUAUAUAUGUCAUGUAUUAUCAUAAAAUACAACUUACAUUUCGAUAUUAAGGAUGAACACGAAUGCGGCCAUUUUCGUUUUACACGAAAAC